CUUCGGGUUUUCCCAGCGCAGAGCCCGGUAUAUACUGCAGGCACUCCAUCAAUACUUGUUGGGUAAAUAGAAAGACGAUCCAGAGGGUACUAGAAACUCCCAAGGGACUUACCUGCCUUGUGGAACGGAAUUCCCUGUACGCCCAGAGCCCAGCAGAGAGGAGGCACCCCAUACACACUUUCCAACCACCAACUGCUGAAGGAGGCUCAGGUUAAGUCAUUCUCUUCAGGCUCCAGGAUAAGCGGGUCCGGUUUGUAGGUUACAGCCUUAUCUGGGGACCCUCGUUUUCCACCCCAGCUACACGUCUGUGAACAAUCGCCUCUCCGGCCCCUGAAAGGAGAGCGAGCGCCCCAUUUCUGCUGAAUGCACGUCUCAGUUCAUCCAAGGCUGGCGGGCUUUUGAUGGCCACAAUGCGAGUUACGCCCAAAGAGUGUCUCUUUGGUCAGAUCGACAACGCUUGGCUUCACGUUUGCAAGUUAAACGGGCAGAAACCCGGCUGAAACUCCCACGCCAGACGCCGGGGACGCUUCCCUCCGCCCAGUUCAGAGCAGCACUGGGGACUGGGUCUGGACAGGGGGAAGAAGGGAGGGAGCGGGAGUUGUCAGGGGGCGGCGCGGGAAAACAGUCCUGAUUCUAAGCCGCCAUCUAGAAGAAAGGGGGGGGGGGCAGGGCCAUUUUCUCUAGUAUAUCCCUCUUGUUUUUGUUAUUUAUUUUUUUUUUUCAGUUUGCUUUGUCGGCAGCUUUACCCCAACAAACAAACAAAAAAUGAGAGCGUUUUUCUGCUUGUCUUCACCUAGGUAGCUGCUUUCCUCCAGCCCCUGAAAAUGUGACUCCUUCAUAAAAUCAAAAUUUAUGAUUAUUCAAAUGUUGGGGACUGUGAAAAGAGAGGAAGAAAGAGAGAAAAUUAAUAUUGCAGCUGUUCUUCUGAUUAAUGAGAGAUAAUUGCUCAUGAAAAGUCACCCCUGUGGCAUUUUGUUGUCUCCUGGAUCUUUGUUCUUUUCCACUAUUAUUGAGGACUUUCUUGAAGACUAAGCGGUUCUUUUCAAUUUUUGGGUAUUCAGAAAGGGUUGCCUGGUUACAGAGAAUGGGGAAAUCUCGGGCUAUAUCGGGUAAGAUGUGCCACAGACAGCAAUAUCACAAUGCCACUCGGAGAAAAGGAUGGAUACAAGUUAACGAUGCGCUUUCAAUAAAACAUUCAUAGACUUGUUCACGCUUUGAUAAUGACCUCAUUAAAGGGAGCUGGGGGCAAGUAA